rnacentral:rRNA from 1 species
GGCGGCGUGGAUUACGCAUGCAAGUCGAGCGCGAACCGUAGCAUUACUGGGAGAGCGGCGAANGGGAGAGGAAUACGUGGAUACCUACCCUCAGGUUCAGGAUAGCUAUGAGAAACUAUAGGUAAUACUGAAUAAUACCUCCGGAUCAAAGGUGUGAUUCCACCUGAGGAGGGGUCCGCGUCCUAUUAACUAGUUGGCGAGGUAACGGCUCACCAAGGCGAAGAUGGGUACGGGAUGUGAGAGCAUGAUCCCGCUCACUGGGACUGAGACACUGCCCAGACACCUACGGGUGGCUGCAGUCGAGAAUCUUCGGCAAUGGGGGAAACCCUGACCGAGCGACGCCGCGUGCGAGAUGAAGGCCUUCGGGUUGUAAAUCGCUGUCAGUGGGGAGGAAAUGCCGGUGGGUUCUCCCAUCGGUUUGACCUAUCCGCAGAGGAAGGACGGGCUAANUUCGUGCCAGCAGCCGCGGUAAGACNAACCGUCCAAACGUUAUUCNGAAUCACUGGGCUUAAAGGGUGCGUAGGCGGUCCGGUAAGUUGGGUGUGAAANCCCUCGGCUCANCCGAGGAAUUGCGUCCAAAACUGUC